GGGAAGGAGACAGCCAAGAUCUGGACUGGAGGAAGCCGCAGAGAGGGGGAGCAAGGAGAGGAGGCAGGCGCAGACCUGGAUCCGGAGUCGGAGCGGUCCUGAAAGCUAGGCAACUUCUGCCACUUAUGGAUGAGAUGCUGCAUUAUCAUCAGGCCAAGCCCCCAAAUCAUGAAACAAAACUGAGUUUCAGCAUGAACUGUGAUAAGGAGGAUCACUAUGUUGGGACUACCUUCAGACUAGCAAAAUAUUGAUCCGAGAGAUGAAGAAUGCUUGAAGGGUCAGGAGUAUUCACACAAGGAAUAAAUCUGACUUCAGGAAUUGAGGCAUUCAUCAAAAUUUAAUAUGUUUCUUUAAAUGUGCAACAAAAACUGGAAAAGAAGAACAAAACAUAAAGCUUUUUAUAAGCUUCAGGCAAUAUCUGUACAUGACCUGGAUAAUCUUACACACACACACAAACUCCCCUCCAGUCCUACAAACAUGUAAGAAGUAAAAACUCUUGAAAUAAUAUA